AAAGACCGUGACUACUUUUGCA
rnacentral:miRNA from 1 species